rnacentral:lncRNA from 1 species
CAGGGUAGAAGUCCAGAUGCUUAGAACAAUCCUUUUCCCAAGUUAGUUGACAUGAUGUUAUUCUUAUAAAAAAAACUUAUCUUAUUUUGAUUACAUGAUGUGGAUUGGUGAUCUUGGUCCUUUUAAUUAAGGAUAAGACUCCAUGAUAAAAAUUAGAUUUUUCGAUGAUCAUCGUAUACAGAAGAACUGAGGAUUCAUUGGUUAAGAACCGCUAACCUGUCCUCUUGCCCCUAGGGUGUGAGCACUGAAAGGGAUUAAGGCCCACUGUAGGGAAGCUUGCACGGAAGCCUGCACUGCCCUUUCCCCUGUUCUUUCAGUUAAAUAGAAGAUUUUCAGUUCCCAUGACUAUCAAUCUGGUGCUUUUCACAAGCACCAAAUUCUUUUAAGAAAAUUAAGAUGACUUAUUUUUAGAAAUCCAUUGGCCUAGGAUACUGCAAGAUGAUUCUUUUGGUAUUUCAUCUUGACAGAUCCUAUACAUACUGUUUUUUUCUGAUGGAUAUUAGUUUGUUUUAAUUUAUGUUAAAUUUGUUGAUAAAUAUAGACUUUUAAAAAUCAAGGACACAUUUUUAUGUGGUUGGUUUUUUUUUUUGUCCAUUAGUAAUUAUAGAGUUUGGCAGUGUUGAAUCUUAUAUUUCAUUAGAAGUAGCUAUCUGACAACCAUGUGGACAUAAACUCUUAACUUUUCUUUCUAGAUUACUGCGAUAAUAAGGUGCUUUCUCUUAAAAGUUUAAAGGCCUUUAAAUAGCUUUUGUAAAUGCUAAAGCGUUGUGUAUUUUUUCAAUAUCUGCCAAAUUGGUACUGUAUUUAAUCUGAAAAUAUCUUUUGAUUUUGUUAACUAAAAAUAAUUGCAAAGUAAGUAUUAAACAUUCUCAGUAGUUAAAGCUUUUUUUUUUUUCCAUUUAAUUUGAGCUUUUGUUGUUACUAACAAAUAAUUUGUGGCACAGUUUCUUUUCUUUCUUUCUUUCUUUCUUUCUUUCUUUCUUUCUUUCUUUCUUUCUUUCUUUCUUUCUUUCUUUCUUUCAAUGACUGUUACAAUCUAUAUACUUGUCACCUUAGUGUGCUAGAAAUGUUCCACUCAGAUCAAGGGUUCCUUUCUGGUUUUGUAUGUUCUCACCUGCUCCUCACUGUAAAUCAUUGAGAUGUCAAGUGCAAUGAUUAAUUAAGCUGCACGUGCAAGUGCUUUUUUUUCCUUCACCUGUCAAGCAGGAAAGAAGUCUUAUAGCAAGAUUAGAUGAUGCUAAUUCGCAGCUAUUACUCCAGAUUGUCAAGUGCGAGGAAAUAUUUUAUAUUUACAUGCUUAUUUAGAAUAUGGCAUACUACAGUUUUGUUUGGUUUAGAAUUCUUAAAUAUUGUAAGAUACAAUUAUUCUAUCAAACCCUAUCAUUAAACUCCCAAUUAGAGGCAAAGGAAAAAGCCUAAAUUUCUGCAUAAAUAUUUUGGAAUUUAAGGUUCACACUUUAUAAUUAACAUUACCUUUUAUUCAAGUCCUAGUAGUUGAUUUGAAUUAUUUAUAGUAAAUAUUUUAAGUGUCUAAAUUGAUGUGUAUGUGUCAUAUACACCAUUAAAUCCAUUCAUAAUAAUAUUUGUUAAUAUAGUAUGGGAUUAAAUUUGUAAUGAAAUGAUGAUUGUGGUAACUAUACUUUUUUCUUUGACUAAUGAAUGUAAUGUAAAACUUUUAAUUUUCAUACAUUAAUAUGAAACAACAGACAUGGAGAGCUUGUUCUCCCCACCCUAGUUCUUUCAUACCCCCUGCCCCCUUUUUAAACCAUCAGUAAAAGUAAAACCUCAAAUUGUAUAGUAAUCUUAAUCUAUUAUUAAAAGGUCCUAGAAAGGAAGAUUACAAGGUAGAUUCAGGUUUUGAAUCGGUUUUGCCAUUGGUUUAGCAGCGGGUGGGCAGGCAGAUGCCUGCUCAGAGUAGAACCUAUUGCCAUUUUUCACCAUUGAUAGAGUAGCCUUUCAGAGUCAAUGAGCUCUGUCAAUGUGAGCUUGUCAAGGCUACAACUUCAUAGACCUGAGAGGCGGUUUGAGAGGUCAGCCCUUUUCAGGUUCGCUGUGAUGCAAAUGAACUUUAAUGCUUAAACAACUAUUGGAAUUUUUAUGUCUGCUCCUUGUUCUUUUUUCUUCACAAAGUCAUUGACGAGACAUUCAGUGCUUUUUAAAUUGGAAGUUGCAUUGUGCUAAAGACCUAGUACAGAUUUACGGAGGGCUGAAAGCAGUUAGAUCAUGUUCUUUUCAUGGUGCGAUUAGAAUCAAAUCGAUUUCCCUACAGCCUUCAGCAUUCAGAUGGCAAUUUUAACAAAGCUUGGGGGCUAGACAAGGGACAAAACGACUGAACUGAAUGUUAAUUACACUCUGCAGCCUUAUUUUCUUUUGAUUUGGGGCUGACUGGCAACUAAAUUAACAAAAAGUGUGACCAUAACUGCUGCCCUAUUUUCAUUUAAAAGGAGAGCUGCCUCUAAAAGGCUAUCUUUACAAAGAAACAAGUGAGGUCUGCUGAUCAUUGUUAACAAGGGCACUUUUUUCCCUUUAAAAUUCUUGCCCAAAAAACUGUUCAAAAAAAGUAGUGUAAUAAAUUAGUCAUUGGCGUAUUAUUACCCAGAGAGUUAGUUGAUUUUCUGAUUUUUAUGACAUAAGUUUGGAAAAUGUAAGGCAGUAGUAGUAGUAGUUAUGAAUUAUAAUUGGCACCUCUGUGACUGUGGUAUGUCUCCAGCAUGUUCAGCAUGCUAAAAGGUAACAUGGUAACUAGAUUACAGUAGAUACUUUAAAUAUUAACACAUUUUAUAACACUGAGCUAUUCAAAACUAGCUGAUCGUAACAAUUUUCACCUAGCUCAUCCUUGCUUGACAUGCACAUUUUCAUAUUUGAUGAUUAAUACUUACUUGUGCCACAUUAAUAGAGCUGGAUGCUUUUUCCCUUUCCUUGCAAGGAAGCUGCAGCUGCAGCAAGUUGCAGUUGAUUCUUGUGGCAAAACUGUCCUGUUUGCACCUGCAGCUGUGUUGGUCUCAUCCUAACACCUGGCACCAUGAAUUAUGCUCCCUUUUAUUCCUCCCAAGGAAGAAGCAUUUCAUGCUUCAUAGUAUAUAUUGCAAAAAUCAUGUGAUCCUAAACAUAAAUUUCUUAGUUGAUUCCUUUAACAGUAAUAUUUAGUAAAGAGAUUUUUCAAUAAAACUCAUUUUGUUUGAAAACCAACAAAAAUGAUUGGUUUAAAUGCAGUUUUGCCUCUGCUUGAAAAUAGUUACCUAUGGAAUAAUAAACCAGCUUUUAAAUUUGGUCAUCAUUCUUAUAACGUAAAAAUUAGUUUGAUUCGAUAGCAAAUUGAUUUUAAAUUAACUUUCAAUUAUUUCCUUCUUGAAUUUAUUCUAAAAGCCUUUUGCAUUUUGUUACCUAAUGCUUAACCUUUGUUUUAAAAUAUAUAUUAAAAAAUAGAAGAUGUAUAAGGAAAUCUUACUACUAUUUAAGCAUUACAAAAAUAUUUCUGAAAGAAAUUGGGAUUAAAUUUGUAUCAUAUGGUGAAAAUUAGCUUUUUAGACUUUGCUGGUUUUAAAUCAGAGCAUAGUGUGUUUGAAACAGUUAAGAAACGCAAUGGCGAAAAACCAAAACCAUGUCUUAAUCAAAAUAGUGUUCUGUUUCUGUUCAGGCAGCUAUUAUAGUGCUCGAAUGUUGAUAGUGUUUAUAGACCACCCUAUACUCAGUCACUGUCUUAUACCUCACUCCUUUUCACACAAAAAGCAGCUGCAAAACAAAGUUUUUCUAAAACCAGUCAAGAGUAAACUUUUUCCUCAUUUGUCUUCCAGACACGAAGAUCGAUUGAGAAGUUAUUAGAAUGGGAAAACAAUAGGUUAUACCACAAGCUGUGCUUGCACUGGAGACUGAGCAAAAGGAAAUGUGAAACGAAUAACAUGAUGGAAUAUGUCAUCCUCAUAGAAUUUUUACCAAAGACACCGAUUUUUCGACCAGAUUAGCAUUUGCUUUAUUUAUAGAGACUUUCCAAGUAUGUUGUCUUUCCAAUGGUGCCUUGCUUGGUGCUCUCCUGGUGGUGACAUAGCAUUGGUUCUACAGAAUCGUGUGGUGUUUUUUUGUUUUGUUUGUUUGUUUUGUUUUUUAAUAACCGCAUGUUCUAAGUGUGCAUUUUUGUCAAACUUUGCAACAGUUAUUUCAUACAGAUGUUUAAUACUUAAGUUAUUGUGCUCUUUUCUGUUAUGUAUUCUGAUUUUCAAGGAUUACUUUUUUGUAUUAUCAAAAAAAAAAUACAUUUGAACUUAGCAUAAAGAGUGGCCAGCCUUUUUUAUUUUACCACCAAGGUACAUACAAUCCUUUAUUUAUUAAUUCCUUAAUAUAGAAAAAGACCUUUAUAAGGCUCUACUUAUCUACUCUAGCAAGCACACACUUUUUAUUAUUUUUCUUGUUUUUUAAAUUUAUUGUAGUCAUUGUUAUAAAAUAGUAAAUUUUCUUUGAUAGCUUUUUGAACCCUAAUAUAUUCUUUCUCAUACAAUUCCUAAUGCUCUGUUUACAGCAGAAAUACCUGUAACAUUAUGAAGACCUAUUAAAAAGUUUUGAAAGUAUUUCUGUCUUCAAAAGUAGUAAGGCAAGAGUAAAUUAUUUUCAUUAGAAUAGAUAAAUCAAUGAAUGGUAUGCAUGCAUCUAAUGGUUACUAGAGCUCAGGACCACAAAAUAUAGUAGCAUUACAAUCUGUAUAUUUUUGAUCAAGAUGAUUAAAAUGGCCUUAUUUGUGUUAUUUUUUUAUUGUUUAUCAAAUAUUAUAUACAAAAGUGUAGAGAUACUCCUUUUAAAAAUUUCUAAGGAAAAUAUUUCUCCAGUCUAACCCAAUUGUAGAAUGGAUCUAUGUUUCCAAAAAAGUUUUUGAAAGAAAGCAAAAGUUCUAGCAUUAAAGUAAGCUGAUAUGUAAAUACCCCAUUGAUAUUUAAAGCAGAUGAUUACUAAGAAAGGGAGGACAUAUAUAGUACUGUUUUAAUCUACUAGUUUGCUUUCAGGUCAGUUAUGUAUACUUUUUUGAUUGAGGGUGUGACCUAUAAGUUUGAGUUAGAUCAGUUUUGUUUCUUUAAAAUACAUACAAACAUACUUUUUUUUUUUUCUCCUUUCGGUUGUACAUAGCUCCAUGCAUUUUUAAACUCGCUAAAUUUCUGAAAAGCCUAUGUAUAAAUUUUCAUUUUUAUAAACCAGAAAUUAUACAAAUUUUGUGUGUGUCAAGAACUUGUUCCAUACAACUGUGGUAUCGAGCAAUAAUGUGAAUAACUUUUGAAAUUAUAUAAACUAUGCUUAAUUUGUAUUUAGAAUUGGUACCACUCUCUAAUACCCUUUUUCCUUGUAUUAAAUCUUUUAAGUACAAAUUUCAUUAAUUUAUAUACAUGUAUUUUUAAAAAGUAUUUCUUUGUACUUCUCCAAAGUACUGUAAGUCUAUAAAAAUUUGAGUAGUUGAAUGCCGGUAUCUUAUAUCCUAUAUCGAACAUUAGGAACUAUCUUAAAAUCUAGGAUUUUUUUUUUUCUUUUGUUUGAGAUAUUUUUUCAUUGCGCCUCCUCCCCCCAUAAAAGACCAACUUGAAUUUAUAAAACACUUUUUCCUGUGAAAAGCUCAAAGUACAAAGAAUUCAUACUUUUCUCAUUUUUACUUACCUGGUGUCUUGGGUGUGACUAUCACCUUAAAGUAGUGCAAUUAAAAGGCUGUGCCGUUCAUAAACUCUAGUGUUCCUUGGUGGUUUCCCUGUGACAGAGUGUUGCACGGAGAAUGCCAGUUCUGCCUCAGGAUUCAGAAAGAACAGAAAAAUAUGAAGACCAUGUAGACCAUGCAACACAGUUUUCCAAAUCUAAAAUUUUAUAAAUUUGUAGAGCAUUGUAUUAAUCAGUUUUAUAGGAAGAACCAUGACUAUUUAGGCAUAAUUUUUUUCUCCUAUUAUUCUUCUAUAAUGUAAUAUAUAAUAUAAUGUAAUUUUAACACUAUUAUGUUCCCAUAAGAAUAUUUUAACAGUCAGGUAGUUUUCAUGCUUGAUAAUGUUAAGGAUAGGAUUUUUAAAAGCUUUUCUAAUUUUAUUGAGAAGUAUGUCAGUUGCUUAAAGAUUCCCUAGAAAUGGGCACUCUUACAAUUCUAAUGAAUUUAUAGAAAAGAGCUAUCUACGGUGCUUAACAAGUGGCAUUACCAUAAGCCAAUUAUGCUUUGAGCAGUUAGUUUUCCUUGCUUGGGUUUUCAUUAUCAGCCCCCAGUGUAAGGCCUCUGGUUAUCCUUUCUUGAAUCAGGAAUUUAAGUGCCCAUGUUAUAAGAAAUUAGAAAUGUCGGAGAUGGCUAUGUGUUAUUUGAACAUUAGUCCAAAGGAAAUGUUUAAAAUAAAUGAUGACUGUUCUUCAGUUUCUGUUUGUGAGAUAUGAACCAUAGUACUUGGCCAGGAAAAGGUAUUAUUGGCAGAAAAUUAGUAUAGAUUUUAUGUAGGCUAAGUGAAUAACUCAUGAUCUUUGUUCAUAUGAUUACUAGCAUUUUAUAAUUAGUCCAGCAUUCCUGUGUACAAACAUUCCUUUAUCAAAUAAUGUACUUUGCAAACCAUACUAUAUUUUAGUACAUGACUAUUUUAUACCUAAGUUAAAAUAUAUACCCCAAAACCUUAUACUAUAUACUGUAGUAAAACUGAAGUGACACAUUCAGCUUUUAAGGUAGAUAGGCCCUCUCUCACAAGAAAGUUACCUUCCUUAUAUAAAAUGAUCUUCAGAUGCUUUAUUAGUACACUCUUUAAUGACUAGAUUUCAUCCAUUUAAAACAUAAACAUGUGGACUUCCUGUCAUGGCUCAGUGGUAAUGAACCCAAGUAGGAUCUAUGAGGACAUGGGUUCAAUCCCUGGCCUCGCUCAGUGGGUUAAGGAUCCAGCUUUGCAGUGAGCUGUGGUGUACUUUGCAGAAGUGGCUUAUCCCUCGUUCCUGUGGCUGUGUAGGCUGGCAGCUGUAGCUCUGAUUCAGCCCCUAGCCUGGGAACUUCCAUAUGCCAUGGGUGUGGCCCUAAAAAAGUAAAAACAAAACAAAAUGUAAACAUGUAUUUGGGCCUAAAAUCAAGAAGUGUUCAAACAAUGAAUAGUAGGAAUCAACAAUUCCUUUUCUUACUAGAGAAACCAGUUUUGUAAUUGAAUAAUUUUAAAUUAGGAAAAACCACAACUUUCUCCAUGGUUGUAUUUUCAGUGUUACUUGUAGAGAGCUUCUGAUUGCUUCUUUGUAUCAGCAGACACAGGGCAACCAUAUAAAACCUUGACAACAUUCCACAUCAAUCUUUGGUUAUAAAAAAUGAUAUUAAAUAGUAACAUGUACAGUUAGUUGAAUCCAUAGUUGCAUGAGUUCAGACUCUACUAGUUUUAGUUAAUAUUCUGUACAUAUAGACUAUUUCAACUUUUAUGGUAUUUUCUUCGCAGUUAUAACCAUUAGUUGCUUACCUGAUGUUUCACUGUAAAUAUUUGCUUUGGCUCUACUGUUGGUCAGAAGUACAUAGAGUUUAAAAUUGUCUUUGACUAAAUUUCAGCAUCUAGUCCUGGACUCUCUUUCCUUCUCCUAUCGCACUGAAGUGCUGUGGGUCCUUUUGCUGCCCUCUUGAUGUCCAGAGUCUUCACCUAGCAUGGACAUAGUUCAGAAUUGCCUUUGUGUCUUCCUUCCCCUAAGCUACCAGUAAGAAUGUUAAUUUUUUUGCACUCUUAGCUAAGUGUUUAGAAGGACAAUUAAAGCAAGUCAGUCACAUUAAAUGAUAAAUGGCUGAAUUCUGCUACUUACAUUUUUAUUUUUAUUUUUUUAUUUUUUGGUCUUUUUGCUAUUUCUUUGGGCCACUCCCGCGGCAUAUGGAGGUUCCCGGGCUAGGGGUCGAAUCGGAGCUGUAGCCACUGGCCUACGCCAGAGCCACAGCAACGCGGGAUCCGAGCCUCGCGUCUGCAACCUACACCACAGCUCACAGCAACGCCAGAUCGUUAACUCACUGAGCAAGGGCAGGGACCGAACCCGCAACCUCAUGGUUCCUAGUCGGAUUCGUUAACCACUGCGCCACAAUGGGAACUCCUUACUUACAUUUUUAAAAGGGACUUUCUUAACGUAAAUUUCCAAUUAGUGCAGUGGUACAAUUGGUAUUUUCCUUUUCAGCAGACCCUAUCGAUAAGUCUAGACCUUCGAGGAAGGGAGUAAUAGAAUGGUUGCAUAUGGGGCUUCUCAAGCCACUAUUUCUGAAGAAAGCUGAUUUAUGUUUCAUAUCAGGGCGGAAAGAAUAGGCUCAAGAUCAAUCCCAAACCAAACUGUUAGUUAUCCCGUAAUAGUUUGUGUUUAAGUAAAUACCCUUUAAAAAAAAAAUAAAACAACUCUUAAUUUUCUGUAGAUAAAAUAGCCAACUUUAGGUUGUGUUUAGGAACAUACCUUUUAUAUAAAUCGAGAUUUGAAGAUUUGUUUUUAAAUUUUAAAUUAUCUUUUCUGUACUUUUACAAAGAUUUUUAGAUGAUAAUUUUAGAGAAUCAUAAAGAUAUUGUUUAUAUUAUUAGUCAUAAUUCUGUUUACUUGUUUCUGUUCUAGGAAGCAAUACUUAUCCCUACCCCCACCACAACCCCAUGGUAAAUUAAAACAACAGAGAUGGUUUAUAGCCUUAAUAAACAGUUC